GUUCGAGCGUCAUUUGUACCCUCAAGCUCUGCUUGGUGUUGGGUGUUUGUCCCGCCUCGCGCGUGGACUCGCCUUAAAGUCAUUGGCAGCCGGAAUAAUUCUGGGGAACGCAGCACAACUGCAGCCUCCAUUUUACGCCGAGCGUCCAGUAAGCCUUUUUUUCAACGUUUGACCUCGGAUCAGGUAGGGAUACCCGCUGAACUUAAGCAUAUCAAUAAGCGGAGGAAAAGAAACCAACAGGGAUUGCCCUAGUAACGGCGAGUGAAGCGGCAUCAGCUCAAAUUUGAAAUCUGGCUCUUUCAGGGUCCGAGUUGUAAUUUGCAGAGGGAGCUUUCGAGUUGGCAGCGGUCUAAGUUCCUUGGAACAGGACGUCACAGAGGGUGAGAAUCCCGUACGUGGUCGCAGGCCUUCUCGAGGUAAAGCCCCUUCGACGAGUCGAGUUGUUUGGGAAUGCAGCUCUAAAUGGGAGGUAAAUUUCUUCUAAAGCUAAAUACUGGCCAGAGACCGAUAGCGCACAAGUAGAGUGAUCGAAAGAUGAAAAGCACUUUGGAAAGAGAGUCAAAUAGCACGUGAAAUUGUUGAAAGGGAAGCGCUUGCAGCCAGACUUGCCUGUAGUUGCUCAUCCGGGCUUUUGCCCGGUGCACUCUUCUAUAGGCAGGCCAGCAUCAGUUUGGGCGGUUGGAUAAAGGUCUCUGUCACGUACCUCCUCUCGGGGAGGCCUUAUAGGGGAGACGACAUGCAACCAGCCUGGACUGAGGUCCGCGCAUCUGCUAGGAUGCUGGCGUAAUGGCUGUAAGCGGCCCGUCUUGAAACACGGACCAAGGAGUCUAACAUCUAUGCGAGUGUUUGGGUGUCAAGCCCGAGCGCGCAAUGAAAGUGAACGGAGGUGGGAUCCCUUAAGGGUGCACCAUCGACCGAUCCUGAAGUCUUCGGAUGGAUUUGAGUAAGAGCAUGGCUGUUGGGACCCGAAAGAUGGUGAACUAUGCUUGAAUAGGGUGAAGCCAGAGGAAACUCUGGUGGAGGCUCGCAGCGGUUCUGACGUGCAAAUCGAUCGUCAAAUUUGGGCAUA
rnacentral:misc_RNA from 1 species